rnacentral:tRNA from 1 species
UCCACCGUAGCUCAAUUGGCAGAGCAUCCGGCUGUUAACUGGAGGGUUACUGGUUCAAGUCCAGUCGGUGGAG